rnacentral:rRNA from 1 species
UACAGAGGUCCCAAGCGUUGUUCGGAUUCCUUGGGCGUAAAGGGUGCGUAGGCGGCGCGGUAAGUCGGGUGUGAAAUCUCGGAGCUUAACUCCGAAACUGCAUUCGAUACUGCCGUGCUUGAGGACUGGAGAGGAGACUGGAAUUUACGGUGUAGCGGUGAAAUGCGUAGAUAUCGUAAGGAAGACCAGUGGCGAAGGCGGGUCUCUGGACAGUUCCUGACGCUGAGGCACGAAGGCCAGGGGAGCAAACGGG